AACGCACAUUGCGCCCUUUGGUAUUCCGAAGGGCAUGCCUGUUCGAGCGUCAUUUCAAACCUCAAGCUCACGCUUGGUAUUGGGCGUCGUCCGCUAGGACGUGCCAGAAACCCGUAGGCAGUGGUGCCCGCCUCCCAGCGUAGUCAAUCUACCCGCUUCGGAGCGCGCGGUGCCGCCCGCCAGACGAACAACCCACUAUUUUCUAUGGUUUGACCUCGGAUCAGGUAGGGAUACCCGCUGAACUUAA
rnacentral:misc_RNA from 1 species